AGUGAACGCUGGCGGCAGGCCUAAUACAUGCAAGUCGAACGGCAGCACAGCAGAGCUUGCUCUGUGGGUGGCGAGUGGCGGACGGGUGAGGAAUACAUGGGGAAUCUGCCCAGUCGUGGGGGAUAACGUAUGGAAACGUACGCUAAUACCGCAUGCGCCCUAAGGGGGAAAGCCGGGGACCGCAAGGCCUGGCGCGAUUGGAUGAGCCCAUGUUCGAUUAGCUAGUUGGCGGGGUAAAGGCCCACCAAGGCGACGAUCGAUAGCUGGUCUGAGAGGAUGAUCAGCCACACUGGAACUGAGACACGGUCCAGACUCCUACGGGAGGCAGCAGUAGGGAAUAUUGGACAAUGGGGGCAACCCUGAUCCAGCCAUGCCGCGUGAGUGAAGAAGGCCCUCGGGUUGUAAAGCUCUUUUGUCAGGGAGCAAAUCCUGUUUCCUAAUACGAAACGGGGAUGAGAGUACCUGA
rnacentral:rRNA from 1 species